GACGAACGCUGGCGGCGUGCCUAACACAUGCAAGUCGAACGGAGUAGAGACUUCGGUUUUACUUAGUGGCGAACGGGUGAGUAACGCGUGAGAAACCUGCCUUUCAGUGGGGGGCAACAGUUGGAAACGACUGCUAAUACCGCAUAACAUAUCGAAGGGGCAUCCCUUCGAUAUCAAAGCUUUAUGUGCUGAAAGAUGGUCUCGCGUCUGAUUAGCUAGUUGGUGAGGUAACGGCUCACCAAGGCGACGAUCAGUAGCCGGUCUGAGAGGAUGAACGGCCACAUUGGGACUGAGAUACGGCCCAG
rnacentral:rRNA from 1 species